GGAUCCGAGCCCGGGGCGGGGUCUCUGGAUGUGUCGACUUCCGGCUGGCGGGGUCAGCGGGAAGAGCGGGGCUGCGUUUUUGGUUCUGUGCGAUUCAGGCGGGCUCGAACCUGCAGAACCCCUCUGACCUGGUCCAGUGAUAUUUUCUCUUGUUGAGCCAGCAGCAGGAGGUGGAGAGUGACAGACUCAAUGGGCAAGUUGUCUCAGUAACUCACCAUGAACAUGAGAAGAAUAGACAUCGUUUUCCUGAUUUCGUUUUUCAAACUUUCAUGCCACUUUGUACUCUCCUUUAUAGAAGCAUGUAAAAUUAGAGAAAGAAAGGAUCUCUGAAGUGUCCCAACCUUUUCCUCUAACAACCUUUGAGUUAAGCCCUUAGAAAAUGAGUGUUUGCUAAUGAUAAAUACAGGGAAGUGAUUUUAGAUGAAACACUGUCUCUGGGUCAGAUGAGAUAUCGAGAUUUUUUUGCCUGUUCAGAAGAGCACAUAAAAGUGAUGUCCCCUGGGCCCAGAGAUUUAGCUCGGGGGUGGGUGCCUGCCUCAGAAAUACAAGGUCCUUAAAAAACAAAAAAUAGAACACAAAGUCCUAAAUUUGAUCCCGGGUACUGAAAAAAAAAGGUGAUAUUCCCGUUUAGUGCUCUGGGCAGCAGUCUGCCUCGGGAGACUGAACCUAAGACCCUAGAGAAAGAACCAACUUCUUGGUGAAACUAGAAGGAGCUAUUUCCAUAAACACAACAACAUUUAGUUUAAAGGAGAAUCCCUAACCUACUGUGUGUGUGUCUCUCUCCCCUCAUAGUAUUGUAGAUAGGUAAAUUAAUUAGAUAUCUUGUAGGCAGUUAUACAGGGCUGGCCCGCGAGGCAAUGUGGAGGACAGUCAAAACACAUUCCCUGAAAGCCAGCAUUGUAUUUUUUUUGUACUGGGGAUCAUACUAGGCCCCUUGCCCUUUCCAGGCAGGUGGCUGCAGAAUCACUGAGCUAAAUCCCCAGCCCACUAGCAUUGUAAAAGAAGAUAAAUUACCACAUCUGCAUAGCAUGUAUAGCAGUAAUUGAUAUUCUAAAUAGGUAUCACCCGGGUGGGGAACCAUGCUCUUCCAAGAAAGAUCCCUCACCCAACUCUUACCACCAAAACUCCUUGCUCUUUCCUUGAAUGCUUGCUACUUGACUUGUUUCCCCAUUGGAUCUUCAUUUAAUCAGUAUUACCUAGGUGACUAUACUUGUCAUAAUC